rnacentral:rRNA from 1 species
GAACGAACGUUGGCGGCGUGGAUUAGGCAUGCAAGUCGAACGAACCCCGACCCGGGGGCAACCCCGGGCCGGGGCGAGUGGCGAAAGGGGCAGUAAGGCGUGGGUAACCUGCCCCGGGGACCGGAACAGCCGGCCUAACGGCCGGGUAAUUCCGGGCGACGUGCCGGGGGCGCAUGCCCCGGGCACCAAAGGACAACCGCCCCGGGAGGGGCCCACGUGGUAUUAGCUGGUUGGCGGGGUAACGGCCCACCAAGGCGCAGAUGCCUAGCAGGUGUCAGAGCACGACCUGCGCCACUGGCACUGAGACACUGGCCAGACUCCUACGGGAGGCUGCAGUCGAGGAUCUUCGGCAAUGGGCGCAAGCCUGACCGAGCGACGCCGCGUGCGCGACGAAGGCCUUCGGGUUGUAAAGCGCUUUAGCGGGGCAGGAAAGCCCCUUCGGGGGCCUGACCGAUCCCGAGAAUAAGCACGGGCUAAGUUCGUGCCAGCAGCCGCGGUAAGACGAACCGUGCGAACGUUGUUCGGAAUCACUGGGCUUAAAGGGCGCGUAGGCGGGCCGGACAGUCCGGGGUGAAAGCCCCCGGCUCAACCGGGGAAUUGCCUGGGAUACUGCCGGCCUGGAGGGGGGUAGGGGCGGACGGAACUUCCGGUGGAGCGGUGAAAUGCGUUGAUAUCGGAAGGAACGCCGGUGGCGAAAGCGGUCCGCUGGACCCCGCCUGACGCUGAGGCGCGAAAGCCAGGGGAGCGAACGGGAUUAGAUACCCCGGUAGUCCUGGCCCUAAACGAUGGGUACCGGGUAGGGGGCCCUGCGGCCCCCUGCCGGAGCGAAAGUGUUCAGUACCCCGCCUGGGGAGUAUGGUCGCAAGGCUGAAACUCAAAGGAAUUGACGGGGGCUCACACAAGCGGUGGAGCAUGUGGCUUAAUUCGAGGCUACGCGAAGAACCUUAUCCUGGGCUUGACAUGUGCGAAAGCGCCCGGAAGUAGGCUGCGGAAACGUAAGCCCAACGGUAACCAGCCCGGAGCCGGGUACAGGUGCUGCAUGGCUGUCGUCAGCUCGUGUCGUGAGAUGUCGGGUUAAGUCCCAUAACGAGCGAAACCCUUGCCUCCAGUUGCCAGCGCGUCACGGCGGGGACUCUGGAGGGACUGCCGGCGUCAAGCCGGAGGAAGGCGGGGAUGACGUCAAGUCCUCAUGGCCUUGAUGCCCAGGGCUGCACACGUGCUACAAUGCCGUGGACAAAGGGACGCCAAGCCGCGAGGCGGAGCCAAUCCCAAAAAGCACGGCCCAGUUCAGAUCGGAGGCUGCAACCCGCCUCCGUGAAGCCGGAAUCGCUAGUAAUCGCGGGUCAGCAACACCGCGGUGAAUGUGUUCCUGAGCCUUGUACUCACC